rnacentral:rRNA from 1 species
CUAAUACAUGCAAGUCGAGCGAACAGACGAGGAGCUUGCUCCUCUGACGUUAGCGGCGGACGGGUGAGUAACACGUGGAUAACCUACCUAUAAGACUGGGAUAACUUCGGGAAACCGGAGCUAAUACCGGAUAAUAUAUUGAACCGCAUGGUUCAAUAGUGAAAGACGGUUUUGCUGUCACUUAUAGAUGGAUCCGCGCCGCAUUAGCUAGUUGGUAAGGUAACGGCUUACCAAGGCGACGAUGCGUAGCCGACCUGAGAGGGUGAUCGGCCACACUGGAACUGAGACACGGUCCAGACUCCUACGGGAGGCAGCAGUAGGGAAUCUUCCGCAAUGGGCGAAAGCCUGACGGAGCAACGCCGCGUGAGUGAUGAAGGUCUUCGGAUCGUAAAACUCUGUUAUUAGGGAAGAACAAAUGUGUAAGUAACUAUGCACGUCUUGACGGUACCUAAUCAGAAAGCCACGGCUAACUACGUGCCAGCAGCCGCGGUAAUACGUAGGUGGCAAGCGUUAUCCGGAAUUAUUGGGCGUAAAGCGCGCGUAGGCGGUUUUUUAAGUCUGAUGUGAAAGCCCACGGCUCAACCGUGGAGGGUCAUUGGAAACUGGAAAACUUGAGUGCAGAAGAGGAAAGUGGAAUUCCAUGUGUAGCGGUGAAAUGCGCAGAGAUAUGGAGGAACACCAGUGGCGAAGGCGACUUUCUGGUCUGUAACUGACGCUGAUGUGCGAAAGC